UGGGGCACUGAUGGUCAAGCCUUAGAUCUUGUGGGUUCUGAAAGCACUUGACAAUAUAGGAAAUAUUUAGAUUUAGACCCAAUACAUCAGAGGAGGUCCAAAUACUUGAAGAGGCCCAAACGAUUAGGUUUAGGUCAGAUGGGAAGCGGGGACCACGGAGGCCGCCGGGAUAAAGGACCACCGGUAGCCGGUUGUAUUCACCGGAGGCCUAAGUAGACACGACGAGUCUUGAUGGGGAGGAGACAAAUCCAUCCUCAGAGGAGACUGCAUUGGAGUCAAAGAAGGGGCCGACCAGAGAUGGAGAAAACGGAGAUACGGUGGAGAUAGUUUGUAGCAGAAGGCUCGAGUACAUCACCCGCCAUGGCACAUGAUCUAUUCGACGGUAUGGGAGUGGAAAAAACACGAUUCCCAGUCGCCAAUUCGUCG
rnacentral:lncRNA from 1 species